rnacentral:lncRNA from 1 species
GUUUCACAUGGAGACAUCAGCCGUCAAGAGUGAAAUUUUGACUCUGCAAAGCGACCUCCAAAUCAAUCGAGGGCAUCGGGAGAACACUUUUGGAACCUUAUCGUGGAGGAAAAAUAUCCAAACAUGAGAAAAGUUGGCAUGUACUUGACAGAAUGUUUUGGAUCUACCUACAUUUGCGAGUCAGCAUUUUCAGACAUGAUCAAAAUACCGGUCCACUCUAACAGAUGACGCUGGACACCUGUUUGAGGCAAGCAAUCAGUAGCUACAUCCCAGACCAUGCUGAGCUUGCUGACAGCAUGCAGUGCAAAUCAUCCAAUCAAUAAGCAAACAUACAGCUUGGAGAUCACCAGCUUCUUUAAUGGGAAUUCUGCCUUGUACCGUGCUGACUCCAAUCACAAGGAGAGGCUUGUGAAGAGCAUCCAUCACCAUGUAGAAUACAGGGGCUCUGAAGGAAAUGGAGUACAGAGAAGACGGCCGUUACAGAACCACCCAC